UCAGUCAAGGGUUUACUGUCCUACCCUCUCUAGGCUUCAGCCUCCUCAUUUGUAAUUCAUGUUAACAACUACAGAUAAACUCCAAGGAUUCUUCAGCUUUUAGGAAUGAGAGACAGAAAGUAAUCUAAAGUAUCCCUACAAUCUAACAGGCAAUAAAGAUAAACAAAUGAAAUACCACAAGUGCAGUAAAAGAGUUACGUUUAAGGCACACAAAAACAAAAAGUGAGGUACAUGCAGGGAAAUUAGAAAAGGUAUCACUGAAAAAGUAGUAUUAAUAUGUGAGCUGAAUCACAGAAGAGUAUAUAGUACUUUCCAAAGAGGUAAAGCUUGAAAGGAAAAACACGUAUAAAAAUAUCAGAAGUGAAGCACUUACACAAUGGAAAAGUAACAACCUCCAAAAAUUUGCUCCUUUAUUAAAAAAAGCAAUGAGGAUACUGGCAAAAAUUGUCAAAAUCAACUUUUUCACAACCCUAGAAAUUAGCUAAAGCCUUGUAACAAUGUUUUUAUUCAAGAAUAUUGGAUGAAUCUCAGUAAAAACAGCAAGCUUUGCAGCAUUUUAACUUGCUUUAUUCCCAUCCUUCUCUCUCCAGCUCCAUGAUAGCCUUCAAGCCAUACAGCUCACAACCACAGUAGCUGUGAAAACUACCAACCUAGCAACCACUGGAGGAAACAAAACAGGUUUAGAGCUCACCAAAAAGCCCAAGACUUGUCACUGUUAGACCUGUCAGUCAGCUACCUGGAAAAGCUCCAUUCUCCAGGAGACUGGCUAAGGAAGAAUGCGAUCUGUGGAAACAACAGAACUGGCAUCACCUGAGAGCUUGCAGAUACCACAGAAACUCCGGCCCUACCCAGAUGUACUAAAUGAGGUCCUCCGUGUUGCUAUGCUGAAUUCAACUGAAGAAGCUGAAGUAUUGCACCUUUACGCUACAUACUUUACAGUUCACAAAUACACUAUUUCAUGUAUGACUUGUCCUCUCUAAACUGAGAGAACAGACUAACCUGGGAGAAGCUGGAAUUUAAACUUUUAAAAUUAAUCGUGACAUCUUAGCUCAAGUAACUGUAACACAUGGUUUGACUGCCUUAGGAAAAUACAAAGCAGAAAAGCUUUAACUUUGAAAUUCAAGCAAAAAUAUUUGAGAAUACGUCUUCCACCUCAUACUCCCCAUGCACCCAGUAAUACUCCAGCUGCCUUCAGACUAUUAAAAGUCCCGAGGUCCCUUAAACCAGUUCCAAGUCCCCACCCCAAUCAAAGGACAAUGCCCAUACAUACAGGAGCUAUGACUAUAGCUACAGGCCAAUGCCUAUACAGCAUAGGAGCCAAUUAAAGAGGCCAUAAGUAAAAGUACUUAGGCAUAAGGAAACAAAAUGAAAAAUAAAAAUAAAAGAAAGAGGCCAUAACUACUAGAAAAAGUGCUGGUCACGAGAACUAAGUUCUACUCUCCACAAUCAACACUAAUAAUGUGACUUUGGGUUCAUUCAUUACUCCAUUUUCUCAUGGUUAAAUGAGGGAACUAAAUUUGGACAAUCACUACAAUUACGGGAAAUUUAAUGAAGCACUAGCAUUUUCAAAGAAAGACUAUUAGUCCAACAAUACCAAUUACAGUUAAUAUAAUACUCAGGAUAUUUUCUGUAAGAGGCUCUGAGAAGGUCCUGUUUUAAAUUCAGGUUCUUACACAUUGUUUCCUAUAUUUCGUCUUCCAAAGCAAAAGAAAAAAAGAAAAAAAUCAGUGAAAUUGACCUUAUACUAUCCAUAAUGGCCCACCACAACUUUUUGAAAUACCUUUAGUGUAUUUAAAAAAAAAAAAAAAAAAAACAGCCACUAUUCUAAGAUGAAAACAAAUCUGAACCUUGAAUCUGUAUAUAAGGGUUUCUCAAGCUAGAAAUUUAUGGGCAUUAGUUACAUCCAACCUCGAACACUAUGGAUUCAUACAGCCCUUACAAAUGCACUUCCAACCAUCCCUAUGGAUAGGCAAAAAAUACCAUACACAAACACAUAUUUAAAAAAAAAAAAACUCAUGAGUUUGCAAUAUUUCUAAAGUUCCCACUGCACUAAGGUGAAAAACUAUAAAACCCAUAACAGCUACCUUCACUUGUUUAAAAAUAAAAACAAGUACCAAUUUUGGUUGAGAUCCUUAGAAUUUCUCCUUUGGGUUGCAUAAACAUUUUGCUAAAAGAUGAAAAUUUACCAAAGAUUUAGCAAUCCAGUUAACUAUUCACUAGGAUUUAAACUGAGCUGUCUGGAUGAGUUAACCAUAAUACUGUGCUAAUGAAACUAAGGAUCUAUUCCAAUUUCAAUUUAGGCCCAUUAGGUAGACAAAAAAAAAAAAAAAAAUCCUUAGAUCCACAUUACUGCACGUAACAGUUAACUAUCUUACAUACUCCUGUUAGUGAUCAUAGAAGACACCAUCAAAAGCCUAUGCACAUCUGAGCACAUAUACCCCCAACCUCUGAACAAAUAUUUCAGAAUACAUGGCCUACUGAUCAUGAGUCAGUAGCAACUUUUUUUUUCUGUGCCUGUAUAAAAAAAUAGACCAUUAACAUUCAACGGAAGAGAGUCUGUGAUGCAGGCAAGAGAAUGAAAAAAUGGGUAAUUGCCAGUGAUGCAUAAUCCCACUCCCUAGAAAAAUAGUCCUGACAAGAUUCAGGAAAAAAAAAAAUUACUUUAGUAGUAGUAUCUUUAUGAUUCAGAAAGAAUAGUAAAACCUAAACUAACCACUGACAAUCUCAUUCAAAAGAGAAUACUUAUGUAUAAAGCUCCAGGCAGCCCUAACAAUGGUCCAACCAGCAAAAAUAAAGCAAAAUAAGUAAAUACAGCAUUUAGGCAAGGGGAAAUAGUGUACUGGAACCCUCUCUUCCAGAAAUUGAAAGAAAGAAUAGUCAAGGGUGGUUUGCUACCCUCUGACCUUUGGGCCAGGCUUACAAAUUUCCUAAUCUAAAAGCAAACUAAAUGUCUUUCCACCUAGAAAAUAAGUACCUUCAAUAUCAUACAGUUCAGUUAGAGGAAUCCCCAAAGUUAAUGCUCAUUUGUUUCCCUCCCCAGGAGCCUUAAGGAGAUAAGAUCCCCUUCUUCUUCCUAAUACCCUCAUCCUCUUAGACACCAUUCAUCCCAUUGAGUGGUACUAUCCGCCACUCAAGAUAAAGCCAUACACAGCUGACCACCCCCAAAACUGUUUUCUUAAGAUCAGUUAUCCAAAGCACAUACUUUAGACUACCCAGCUCCCACUCUGUCUAACGGUAGUGGCUCAAGGGAAUUCAGGCUAGAACAUUUUGAGAGUCACAUCAAAUACAAGCAAUGCAGUACCCACAAAACAAAGAUGUACUAUACAUAUAACCAUAACAGAAAUAAAACAGGCUAGGAGUCCAAAAAUAAAUCUGGUAGUAUUUUUUCAUCCAUCUAUUUAAUGCUAGAACUACAUUAUUAACAAAUAUCUCUAUCUCCUUAUUUUAAAAUGGACAGAACUUCAAAAACAGAGUCAGCCUUCUCCUAAAUAUCAACUGAACAGCUUGAUAUGUCAAAUAUGGCUGCUAUCCAAUUGUUUCAUAGUAAUUUGUAGCAAGCCCUCUGAUCACUUUUGAAUACCAAAACUCAACCUCUUACAGAGGUACUCAAUACUAUCAUGAGUACAGCACUGCAAGAGAUAAAAGACGAAUACAAGGCCAAGCAUGGUGCCUCACACCUGUAAUCCCAGCACUUUGGGAGGCCA
rnacentral:lncRNA from 1 species